rnacentral:lncRNA from 1 species
ACACCUUUCCACCCUGGUUCUGCUGCUGUUUAGGAGGGGGUGACGGAAACCUCCCCCACUCCCCAGUCCCAUUUCUUUUCUAGUGAAGCCCGCAACAGUAGGCUACUAUCUAGAUACUGGGUGAGAGUCACGUCUUAAUUUGUCCUUGCUCUGCUCAUCAAAGGCUAUUUCUCUCUUUGAAUGAGCUGUAGCCGUUAUUAUGCCCGGAAAGGCUGUGAAGUUUCCACGGAUCAGCAGUUUUGGUAGUUGACUCUGCCUGAUCAGAUGUAGAGCAAAUCAUAAACUAUUCAACAUGUAAACACUGAGGAUGUGCUCUGCAUGGCUAACUCACACGAGGUUUGCUUCGGCCAAAUGGGUCCUGGGAGGGCUUUAAUCCAGUUCUUGGGUGGAGGGGCGGUUCUAAAUCCUACCGACCCAAUAUGGCAAAUUUGGGAAGGAGAGGGAGUUGAAAUGAGGAAAAGGGGGAAAAAUAGGGAGCAGAGUCUUCCUUGUGAGAUUCUGUCCUUUUCCUUCCUGAUUAACCCCUCAAAGUCAAAGACAUGCUGGGAGCUUGUUGAUGAAAGUGUUCCGAAUGUCAUCACGCAACAGCUUAGGGAAGAAAAGACGUUAGUUCAAAUCCCUUGGGACACCAGCAACAUGGCCACUCAGGCUGAAUCCCAGCACCAACUUGCCCCACCUGGCAAUUUCGUUACCCAAGGGACACUUGGCAAGGUCAAGACGUGUUUGGUUGUCACAACUAGGGGGCCAGAGAAAUCACUAAAUACCCUAUAGGGAACAAGACAGCUGCUUCCACAAUAAAGAAGUAUGUAGCUCCAAGUGUCCAUAGUACGAAGGCUGAGAAACUCUACCCGAAACUGAACAGCAGUGACGUAAGGAUAUUUUCCCAGAUGUGAUGAGGCACUACCUUGAAAUGGGAAGCCCCCAUCCUAGCAGAGGGAGGCCAGACAAUAAACAAAUAAAGAAAAAAAGAAAGUAUUGGUGACAGUAAAUGCUGUGAGAAUAAAACAGCAGAACCUGAUCGGGUCGGGCUGCUUUAGGCCUGACAAGCAGGAAGUCUUCAUGGAAGAGGAGGCAUUUAAACUGGAACCUGGAUGACAAGAAGUGACCAGCCAGUGAAGAUCUGAACAGAGAGCAUCUAACUGGCAAGGGGAUCGUUCUUCCAAAAAUGCCAAAGUAGGGACAACCUGAAUGUGCCUGAGGAAGAGAAAGAAUGGGAAGCCAGCGACUAGUGGGAAGGGCCAGAUAAGGAGGGAAGUAAAAUUCCUGUAAGGCCACACAGAGUGGCUUCUUUCAGACAAUGCUACUUCUUGGUGUUACUCUUCAGAAAAAAUAUUACCUAAAAAUACUUGAUGGUAAC